rnacentral:rRNA from 1 species
GAUGAACGCUGGCGGCGUGCCUAAUACAUGCAAGUCGAGCGAACAGACGAUGAGCUUGCUCCUCUGACGUUAGCGGCGGACGGGUGAGUAACACGUGGAUAACCUCCCUAUAAGACUGGGAUAACUUCGGGAAACCGGAGCUAAUACCGGAUAAUAUCUUGAACCGCAUGGUUCAAUAGUGAAAGACGGUUUUGCUGUCACUUAUAGAUGGAUCCGCGCCGCAUUAGCUAGUUGGUAAGGUAACGGCUUACCAAGGCAACGAUGCGUAGCCGACCUGUGAGGGUGAUCGGCCACACUGGAACGGAGACACGGUCAAGACGCCUACGGGAGGGAGCAGUAGGGAACCGUCCGCAAUGGGCGAAAGCUUGACGGAGCAACGCCGCGUGAGUGAUGAAGGUCUUCGGAUCGUAAAACUCUGUUAUUAGGGAAGAACAACUGUGUAAGUAACUAUGCACGUCUUGACGGUACCUAAUCAGAAAGCCACGGCUAACUACGUG